GCAAAGGUUGAACAGGCUGGAGAGCUCACUUCUCAGAGGGGUUGGCAUGGAAGGGUGCCACGUGGGGAGAACCAAUGGAGAAGCAUGGUGGCCAUGAAAUAUGGCUUCCGGUCUUAACCACAAACUCCUUAGAAGCCACGAAGUGGAAAAAACUACAGUGUGUUUAGUAGGACUGGGGAUGUGGUGGCAAUAAAGAGGACUGCAUGGACAAGAGGCAUGGACUGACCCAUCAGCUCACGAAGUCCAGAAGAUGUGUAUUUCAAUCCAUUUCACUGUAAAUACUGGGGGCCAAAGGGGAGUGGUGGUGGUGCUGCUGAUAGUGGGAAAGGAAGAGUUGGAACCAUUAGGCAGGGAGGUCUAUGAGUUACAGCAGCAUCUCAGGAAAAAUGACCUAUGCUAGAAAACAGUGUACUAUAACCUACCAAGCCACACUGUUUCCAAAGAACUUGAAAGCUUUAGAGGGAGAUAAAGUUUGGUUCCAAUCUCAGCUGUCCAUUCCAUUGAGUCUUUGGGAAAAUAUUCUGUAUUUUGUAGGUCAGUUUCUUCCUCUCCAUAAUUAAGAUCUACUACCAGCAUUCUUAGCUGCAUGGAUUAAGUGGAGUCACAGUAGAACACCUGGCAUAUGACGGGCACUAGCAAGUUUUUACCUUUCUUCCUUGGCUGAUCUCAACCCUUUAGAGUCUAGCUUCUUUGCAUGAUCAGUUUCUAAACUGAGACAGGUCACACUCUAUGGAGACUCACAGGAAAGGGUUUUGAAGGCUAGGUAGCUUGACAGAUAGCCUAGUUUUUAGACCUUAGGUGAAAUCAAACUACAUACAGCUCUGGUUAGUGGCUAACUUGGCUCUGGCUUGCUUUCUAAUGGAAACCAUUGUGUAUACAAUGGAAACUAAUGCCUGCUUGUUCACCUUCUUUUUAAAGAUUGAAAACAGUUACAUACAUAAGCUACAAUCUCUGAAUCAGCUCAUUCUAUUUGUGCAAUUGAUGACUGUGACAUCAUAUUGGGACCAAGAAGACAACAGUGAUGUCACAAGAAAAGAAAUUUCUGGUUAUACAACUGUUGUGGGAAGAUAACAGGGUAGCCUAGUAUAGAUAAAAUUAUAAUCUAUA